UUAUCGCCGCAGUGUCCCUUACUCCUUUUACUAAAAUGAGACUGUUGAGGAUGGAAAUCUUUCCUUUUGCCCUGAGAUUGAUAUGUUUGUUAACUUGGCAAAGUAUUAAGUAAGGCAGGGGAAACACGGCUGCUGUUUGGAAGGUUGAGUUUUUCUCAUUUGGGUGGGUCUGACUUCCACUCCCUACUUGCUGAUAGGGGAUGGUUGUUGGGGGUUUCUCUUGGUAUGUCCUUGCCUCGGCGGAGGCAUGGUUAUAAGUAUGCGCCAUCACCUCAGAGUAAGUCUUCCAAGUGUUGGUAUUGAUCAUGUACUUAAAGAAACAGUCGCGUAGGCCUGCCGUGAAGGC
rnacentral:lncRNA from 1 species